rnacentral:rRNA from 1 species
UCGAGCGGAACGAUGGAGCUUGCUCCAGGCGUCGAGCGGCGGACGGGUGAGUAAUGCAUAGGAAUCUGCCCGAUAGUGGGGGAUAACCUGGGGAAACCCAGGCUAAUACCGCAUACGUCCUACGGGAGAAAGCAGGGGAUCUUCGGACCUUGCGCUAUCGGAUGAGCCUAUGUCGGAUUAGCUUGUUGGUGAGGUAAUGGCUCACCAAGGCGACGAUCCGUAGCUGGUCUGAGAGGAUGAUCAGCCACAUCGGGACUGAGACACGGCCCGAACUCCUACGGGAGGCAGCAGUGGGGAAUAUUGGACAAUGGGCGAAAGCCUGAUCCAGCCAUGCCGCGUGUGUGAAGAAGGCUUUCGGGUUGUAAAGCACUUUCAGUGAGGAAGAACGCCUCGGGGCCAAUACCCCCGAGGAAGGACAUCACUCACAGAAGAAGCACCGGCUAACUCCGUGCCAGCAGCCGCGGUAAUACGGAGGGUGCAAGCGUUAAUCGGAAUUACUGGGCGUAAAGCGCGCGUAGGUGGCUUGAUAAGCCGGUUGUGAAAGCCCCGGGCUCAACCUGGGAACGGCAUCCGGAACUGUCAGGCUAGAGUGCAGGAGAGGAAGGUAGAAUUCCCGGUGUAGCGGUGAAAUGCGUAGAGAUCGGGAGGAAUACCAGUGGCGAAGGCGGCCUUCUGGACUGACACUGACACUGAGGUGCGAAAGCGUGGGUAGCAAACAGGAUUAGAUACCC